rnacentral:rRNA from 1 species
AUUGAACGCUGGCGGCAGGCCUAACACAUGCAAGUCGAACGAGUGGCGGACGGGUGAGUAAUGUCUGGGAAACUGCCUGAUGGAGGGGGAUAACUACUGGAAACGGUAGCUAAUACCGCAUACCAUCAGCUGUGCCCAGAUGGGUUUAGCUUGUUGGUGGGGUAAAGGCUCACCAAGGCGACGAUCCCUAGCUGGUCUGAGAGGAUGACCAGCAACACUGGCACUGAGACACGUCCCAGACGCCUACGGCAGGCAGCAGUAGGGAAUCUUCGGCAAUGGACGGAAGUCUGACCGAGCAACGCCGCGUGAGUGAAGAAGGUCUUCGGAGUGUAAAGAUUGUGAAGUUGGGAGGCGUUACCAACAGAAUAAGCACCGGCUAACUUCGUGCCAGCCGCCGCGGUAAUUC